GCUUAUGUGUUUUGUUUCAAAAUUUAAUCACCAGAUAACUGAGGUGAUCUGGGCUCAUCACUCAGCGAACUCGCCAGUAGUGCCAGUGGUGGCUUGGGUGACACUGCCGAUAGCCUUCGCCUGGGUGGGGAUGAUGGAGGUGCUGAAUCAGAGCCAAGACGCCGGCUCUUAGUUGGCCUCCUGGAAUAUGUGACUACAGUGAAGACUUACCUGCAAUACCGGCAUCAUCAUGACUGGUGUGAGGCCUGUCUGGCCGGCUGGUCUGUGUGACUGUGUAAAAAGUCACACCAACAUUAUUACCCUGUUUUUUUUUAAAGUACCCAGUGAAAACCAUUAAUGUACUGUAAGCAUAUAUUUUGUUUGGUUGCCACAACAAAAUUAAGCUUAAGAGCUUCUAGAUUUGUGAUUUAGAGUUGAAUAUCAAAAUGUACUUCAUGUGGCACACAAUAAAUUUAUAAGCUGAACAAUU